rnacentral:lncRNA from 1 species
CUAAAAUACAUGUCCUAAGUGACUUUUUAUGUCUUGCGUGCACCGAGGAGAUCCUUAACGGUUUUUAGACGCACCAUUAUUAUAUAUGCAUAUAUUUGAAGCAUUUUGUACAUAAUAGGUAUUUAUAUGUGUGUAUCAGACAAAAUGACUUCCCAAUUAGCAGAGGCGGAUUUAGGUUUUUUUUCCAGCCCCCCCCCCCAC